rnacentral:lncRNA from 1 species
GAGAGAACCAGAGAAUGUGUUGGUGAAUAAAGGAGAUCUUGUGAAGUUUAAUAUGUGGGUAUCAGCUGGCUUUUAUUAUACUCUAAUUAAGUCUCAUUUCCCUCUGAGUAAAGCAAACUCUUGAGGGCAGUUAUCAUGUCAUCCAUUGCUGUUUCCCACAGCACUAGGCACACAGUCUUGACUCAGUAAGUCCUCACCAAAUGUAAUUGAAUUCGAUAGGUAGGAAAUAACAAAGACUUGUUUGAGUCAGGCUUCAUUUAUUUGGAAUUGAAACACAAAUCCUCAGUGCACUACAAAUAUGAGUUGCUCAAGCGAUUCCUAUUUUGCAAGCAGUUUUACGUAUUAAGAAAGUGGAAGGAUUUAGGCAUUUUGUUAUUCACUCAUUCUAGUAGUACGCACUGACUGGACUUGCCUGAGAGAUGCCAGCAUCUCCAUUAGUAAUGGGUGUUUUGUCCAUUAUCACCCCAUUCUCUAGCACAGACAUUCCUGGCUCAUCAUGAUAACUGGGCAUGUUGUUUUGAUGUGUAAUUCCAGAACACGGCUGGAACUGAGAAGCUGUUGGGGACUGGUGAGGAAGAACAUGGCAUCUACCACCAGGAAAAAGAAGCUCAAUCAAACCACAGAAAGGCUCAUUAAAUGUGAGUUUUUAUGAAUUAGUAGAGGUGAAAAAGGCCUUUGUCUUUAUUGGAAUGUAAAAACUAUGUUGUUUAACUUAUGAGUAAAUAAUUUACUAAAUAUACACUAUGUGAUUAGCACUGAGAAACACAGUAUUUCAAAACAGUAAAAACAGAACCAGUGUUAAACAUAAUUUGCCACCUAUUUUGUGGAAUAAUAGAGAUGCUGCACAAACUUCUGAGCCAGAAGUACCUUUAGUCAGUUCCUGAAAUUCCGCUAAUAGAAAUCCAUACAUUUGUUGUGAAUUGUUACCUCCCAUGACAAUGCAAUGCAUUUGUAUCUUGCAACACUUUCACAGUUUAUGGAACACUCUAACAAACAUGUUUUAUUUUAUUUUUAUUUU